rnacentral:rRNA from 1 species
CAUGCAAGUCGGGCGAGCAGUGCAGCGAUGCAUAGGCGAGCGGCGGACGGGUGAGUAACGCGUGAAUAACCUGCCCCCCAGUUGGGAACAACCGCGCCAACGCGCGGCUAAUGCCGAAUAUACCGGCGGCCGGCAUCGGCCGUUGGGGAAAGAUUUAUCGCUGGGGGAUGGAUUCGCGUCCGAUUAGGCAGUUGGCGGGGCAGCGGCCCACCAAACCUACGAUCGGUAGCCGGCCUGAGAGGGCGGACGGCCACAUUGGGACUGAGAUACGGCCCAGACUCCUACGGGAGGCAGCAGCAGGGAAUAUUGCGCAAUGGGGGCAACCCUGACGCAGCGACGCCACGUGUGGGAUGACGCAUUUAGGUGUGUAAACCACUGUCGCGGGGGAAUAGCGGCGGGCUACGGUCCGCGCGAAUGUACCUUGAAAGGAAGCACCGGCAAACUUCGUGCCAGCAGCCGCGGUAAUACGAGGGGUGCGAGCGUUGUUCGGAAUCACUGGGCGUAAAGGGAGCGUAGGCGGACAGCCAAGCAGGGCGUGCAAGCCCGGGGCCCAACCCCGGCACUGCGCCUUGGACUGGCUGUCUUGGAUGUUUCAGAGGCAGGCGGAAUUCCUAGUGGAGCGGUGGAAUGCGUAGAUAUUAGGAAGAACACCGGAGGCGAAGGCGGCCUGCUGGGGAAAAAUCGACGCUGCGGCUCGAAAGCGCGGGUAGCAAACAGGAUUAGAUACCCUGGUAGUCCGCGCUGUAAACGAUGUAUGCUUGGCGCGCGCGUGUUAGAAGCGUGCGUGCCGGAGUUAACGCGAUAAGCAUACCGCCUGGGGAGUACGCCCGCAAGGGUGAAACUCAAAGGAAUUGACGGGGGCCCGCACAAGCGGUGGAGCAUGUGGUUUAAUUCGACGCAACGCGCAGAACCUUACCAAGGUUUGACAUGGGGAAGCAAGGGGCGGAGACGCCCCCGCGUAGCAAUACGCUUCCCGCACAGGUGCUGCAUGGCUGUCGUCAGCUCGUGUCGUGAGAUGUUGGGUUAAGUCCCGCAACGAGCGCAACCCGUGCCCUCGGUUGCCGUUAUGGCUCUCCGGGGGGACUGCCGG